rnacentral:rRNA from 1 species
CAGUCGCCACGGGAAUACGUAGGUGGCAAGCGUUGUCCGGAAUUAUUGGGCGUAAAGGGCUCGCAGGCGGUUUCUUAAGUCUGAUGUGAAAGCCCCCGGCUCAACCGGGGAGGGUCAUUGGAAACUGGGAAACUUGAGUGCAGAAGAGGAGAGUGGAAUUCCACGUGUAGCGGUGAAAUGCGUAGAGAUGUGGAGGAGCACCAGUGGCGAAGGCGACUCUCUGGUCUGUAACUGACGCUGAGGAGCGAAAGCGUGGGGAGCGAACAGGAUUAGAUACCCCAGUAGUCCCUGUCUCUUAUAA